UACGUAGGGUGCAAGCGUUGUCCGGAAUUAUUGGGCGUAAAGAGCUCGUAGGCGGUCUGUCGCGUCGGCUGUGAAAACCCGGGGCUCAACCCCGGGCCUGCAGUCGAUACGGGCAGACUAGAGUGCGGUAGGGGAGACUGGAAUUCCUGGUGUAGCGGUGAAAUGCGCAGAUAUCAGGAGGAACACCGGUGGCGCAGGCGGGUCUCUGGGCCGUAACUGACGCUGAGGGGCGAAAGCGUGGGGAGCGAGCAGG
rnacentral:rRNA from 1 species